AUUGAACGCUGGCGGCAGGCCUAACACAUGCAAGUCGAACGAGUGGCGGACGGGUGAGUAAUGUGUGGGAAAAUGCCUGAUGGAGGGGGCUAACUACUGGAAACGGUAGCUAAUAACGCAUACCAUCGGAUGUGCACAGAUUGGAUUAGCUAGUAGGUGGGGUAACGGCGUACCUAGGCGACGAUCCCUAGCUGGUCUGAGAGGAUGACCAGCCACACUGGAACUGAGACACGGCCCAGACUCCUACGGGAGGCAGCAGUGGGGAAUAUUGCACAAUGGGCGCAAGCCUGAUGCAGCAAUGCCGCGUGUAUGAAGAAGGCUUUCGGGUUGUAAAGUACUUUCAGCGGGGAGGCGUUACCCGCAGAAGAAGCACCGGCUAACUCCGUGCCAGCAGCCGCGGUAAUAC
rnacentral:rRNA from 1 species